rnacentral:misc_RNA from 1 species
GAUGAAGAACGCAGCGAAAUGCGAUAAGUAAUGUGAAUUGCAGAAUUCAGUGAAUCAUCGAAUCUUUGAACGCACAUUGCGCCCGCCAGUAUUCUGGCGGGCAUGCCUGUUCGAGCGUCAUUACAACCCUCAGGCCCCCGGGCCUGGCGUUGGGGAUCGGCGGAGCCCCCCGUGGGCACACGCCGUCCCCCAAAUACAGUGGCGGUCCCGCCGCAGCUUCCAUCGCGUAGUAGCUAACACCUCGCGACUGGAGAGCGGCGCGGCCACGCCGUAAAACACCCAACUUCUCAGGUUGACCUCAGAUCAGGUAGGAAUACCCGCUGAACUUAAGCAUAUCAAUAAGCGGAGGA